AGUUCGGGUACGCGCUCCCGUUUACUUUUAACACCAACCUGCGAGGUAGGCAGUUUUGUUAUCCACCCUUUACAGAUGAAGAAACUAAAGCCCAGAACGGUUACGGAACCGGUCUAAAGUAUCAAAGCUAUGAGAUGCUCGAAGAGUCAAUAUGUUAAAUCUUGGAGAAGCUGUGGAGUGACAGCGGAAUGGCAAAGUCAAUGGGACGUGUGUGUCGGGAAGCCGUCUAUCUGUGUCUGUGAUAGAGACCGGAACUCCUCAGCUCCUGGGUCUAUCUUAAGAGCCCAGAAGCCUCUUCUGAAGCCUGGGAUGUGGAACCUAGAUAUCUGGGAGAAAUAUCAUGGAAAACCUGAAGAAACGGGGAGGGGAGAAGGUUGGGAGAGAGCCUCACAAUUUCGCAGAACACUGUGGUCACUUACAGCAGCAAGAAGGAUUAAGGUGAGAGGAGAGGAAGAUCUUCCAGUGAGCAGGCAGCUCUACUCGUUUACUGAGGCAGAAAUCCUCCGCCGAUACAGGAAGGGAUCAGAAAGGAAAGGGACCCAUAGAAGGAGAUCCUCUCCCCUUGAGCGGUGGGAUUCAGCAAGGCGGGGCGAGAGUGGGGAAGGGGAGACAGAAUAGAGAAAACGGGCAGAAAAGAAGGCGAGACUGCGGCAGGGAAUCUUUGGCUUCCGUGUGGAGGCGCGAGUCCCAUUCCUGCACACGGUAAUUGCUAAAUUACCCGCCAUCUGCUCGGCUCUCAGACAUAAAUUAUCUGCGAGGGGAAAAGACGCAGAGGCUGCGCACUUUCCUUUCUCUCCCCCAAACCCAGCGAGGAGCAGAGGGGGUGCCCUUCCCUCCAGCCCGAGUGGAGGCGAGGGUGGUGAGACCACCUGAUGGGGGAACAGUCACCCUUUGCCUCUGCCCUCUCCCGAGAGGGAGUGCCUUUGGGGUGACCGAGGUCCCAGCGCUGCCAAGAGUCCUGUCGGACUUGGGGCGGGGCGAGCUGUGGGCUGGCCUGGCCGGGCCUCGCGAGGUCACUUAGGAGGGGGCGGGGCGCGCCUUAGUGGGCGGGGCUUCUCUCAGGUGUGAUGUGACCGAGUUGCCUCGGCAGGUUUUUCCCUGGUCACCCUCUGCCUCCCCCACCUCCCACCCACCGCUUUGCUUGUGGGGAGAAGUCUCUUCAGCUCUCGUUUACGCUUGUCCUGUCUGCCAGAAGGAAGAGAGGGAGGAGGGCAGGCAGAGGGCUUGAGGAGAGAGGAAGGGGGGGCAAACCUUCCUUUCAUUCUGCUCUGAACCUCGCCCUUCCCCUCUAGAGUCUGAAGAGUGGCAGAGAUGUGAAAGCAGAUGUAGGGGCAAUGAUUUGAAAUGGGGCAAAAUGGUAGAAUGCAGCAGGUUGGAGAGAUGGAGGUAAUGGGAAAGCAGAGCCCGCUGGGAGAUGGGUAAGAGAAGCAGGUGGUCAGGCUGGGGAGGUGAGCCAGGAGGGGAAGGGAGCAGAGUGGGAGGUGGGCAGAAUGAGGGGG